UACGUAGGGGGCAAGCGUUGUCCGGAAUCAUUGGGCGUAAAGCGCGUGUAGGCGGCUCGGUAAGUCUGCUGUGAAAGUCCAGGGCUCAACCCUGGGAUGCCGGUGGAUACUGUCGAGCUCGAGUCCGGAAGAGGCGAGUGGAAUUCCUGGUGUAGCGGUGAAAUGCGUAGAUAUCAGGAGGAAUACCGGUGGCGAAAGCGACUCUCUGGACGGCAACUGACGCUGAGGCACGAAAGCGUGGGGAGCAAACAGGG
rnacentral:rRNA from 1 species